CCACAGUGUGUCAUGGUUCCCAGCCUCUCACCUCCCCUGGGCGAGGAGCUCAGCACUGCACAGGAGCCCGAGGGCACCCAGCGACCUCCAGAUUCCAUCUGUACGGUCCCAGCACCAGUCCUCUGUCAGUUUGGAUCCGAGCGAGGCACAGAAACCACAUAGCGAUUUAAAGGGGAAGUUUAGUCUGAGGAAUUGGUAAGCUGUGAUUAGGGCGUAAUGCAAAGAUGAAAAGCGAUCUCUAAAGGGAACCGGAUGGCUGGAUAAACAGACCACGGUUCUCACAGGAAGAACACACAGGCCACGUUGUUCUCGGACGGGGCGCACAGGGGAGCGCGGACUCGGAGGGAGUCCUGGUUCCUUCCUCAAGCCUGGGGCUCAGAGUCAUCAGGGGAGGUGUGGCUGCACCCCCUCCCCACCCCCAGGAGGGCCCAGGGUUUUGCUUGCUGCCCCGCCAGCGGUCACCUGCCGUCUCUGGGCCGCAGGAAACAGCGGUCUGGGUUCGCCUUCUCGUUGCCGGCACAGCACAUGGUCUCAGGAGCAAGGCGUUCAUGCGGGGUGAAUUGCAGCUGCAGAGCCACCAAGCCCGUUCCGCGGGCCGUGAGAUUUCGGGGACAUGCGUUCUGGGGCUCCGAGCGUGUGCCUGGGGCGGACGGAGCCCCCGUGGCGGUUCCCGGAGCCUGUGGCGGGAGCGAGAAGCGGAUACAGCCCCGGCCGCCCAGGGGCCAGCGCCGGCCCUCUGGCGCCCUCUGCUGACCAGGCUUGACCUCACACCCAGGCCGGGGACGUGCGCUCGGAGCCCAGGCGGUCGGCGAAGCUGCUUCGGGAGGCUGGAGCACGCGCACAAGUGCAGAGGUCCAGUCACGGAGCUGAAUCACGAAGCAGGAAAGGAGAGGGGACGUCUUUGGCUUGGAGAGCAGCACGACGAAGGUGAGGAGGGGCAGCGCGCACCUGGAAGACUG
rnacentral:lncRNA from 1 species